UAGAUGUCCUCUUUGAGCUGGUGCUGUUUGGGAUGAUGACAGCUCAGAAGUCCCUGAUGGUGCACCCUGGUGGGUUCGUGGAGCGUCUGUACGCUCUCCUGUACUCCUUCCUGCCGACAUGGAGCCAGAGGCUGACAGAUACCUGCUGCUGCUCAAUGGCGGGCUGAUGGCUCUGCUAGAUGACAUGUUUGACCAGCAGCAGAGUCUCUGGUCACUGAGCUCUCCAGCCUCCUGGAGUACCACUUGGAGAACCUCAUGGCCAGCAUGUAGUCCUACUGCAGGGACCAUACUCCUUUCUCCUUCUCUCUCUUUUUUGAAGGAAUUGAGGACUUGAAGUGCUUUGUUGA